AAGGCAAAGAAUUGCUCAACAAGACGCUUCAAAACUGAAAGGACCAUACUUAGUCGCAACACUGGGAAGGCGCAUGUUGGUUCACCAGGGAAGGUGGUAAAGAAAAGAUCUUGUUGUCCUGCUGCUGUUUCUAAACCAGUUUUACAGUCUCUUUUACCUGCAAAACCAUUUAACCAAGUGAAAGAGGGUAAGUAACCAAACAGAAAUCAACUCGACUCUGAAAGAUACGUGCAAAAUAUUUAAAAUAUCAUAUUUUAUUUUGUAUGGUUUACAGUUUUGUUUAAAGACAAUGGUACCUCAAAAUCUGAUACCAAAACAGGCACAAAUAUCAAAGAGCAAGAUUUGGGUAAAGAAAAAAUCCCCCUUGAAAUACAGCCAGAUAAUGAGACAACAAAUGUGACAGAAAAGACACAAGUUAGAGUGCCUACCCCAGAUAUUUUUGCAGAUUGUGAGUUAAAAUCAAACCCAUCCGAAGAUUUACAUGGUGCAGG